GACCACAUCACAUUAAAACACCUGUCCCCAUAUGAUCAUGAAGUUAAGCAAUGUUGAGCCUGUUCAGUACCUAGAUGGGUGGCCACUUGGGAAUACCAGGUGUUA